rnacentral:sRNA from 1 species
UUCAUAUUCUUUCAAAAAAUUACCUUUCUUCAAAUCACAUUCUUUCCUAUAUCCACAGAUCAUCUACUCACAUUUG